rnacentral:RNase_P_RNA from 1 species
GGAAGCUGUUGGUGACAGCAGGUUAGCGUAACAGAAAAUAACCGCCGUAAAAGGUAAGGGUGAAAAGGCGAGGUAAGAGCUCACCGCUCUCCUGGUGACAGGCAGAGGCUGUACGUACUAUAUGUUGCAAGACCAAAUAUACCGACGCAUGUAGGGCGGCCCGUCCGAUGUCGGGGGGUAGGUUGCUUGAGGGUACCGGUGACGGUGCUCCUAGAUAAAUAACAGACGGUCGCAAGACCACAGAACCCGGCUUAUAGUUCUGCUGCUUUU